rnacentral:rRNA from 1 species
GAUGAACGCUGGCGGCGUGCCUAAUACAUGCAAGUCGAGCGAACAGAUAAGGAGCUUGCUCCUUUGACGUUAGCGGCGGACGGGUGAGUAACACGUGGGUAACCUACCUAUAAGACUGGGAUAACUUCGGGAAACCGGAGCUAAUACCGGAUAAUAUUUCGAACCGCAUGGUUCGAUAGUGAAAGAUGGUUUUGCUAUCACUUAUAGAUGGACCCGCGCCGUAUUAGCUAGUUGGUAAGGUAACGGCUUACCAAGGCGACGAUACGUAGCCGACCUGAGAGGGUGAUCGGCCGCACUGGAACUGGGCCACGGUCCAGACUCCUGCGGGAGGCAGCAGUAGGGAACGUUCCGCAGUGGGCGAAAGCAUGACGGAGCAAGGGCGCGUGAGAGAUGGAGAUGUCCGGAUCGUAAAACUCUGUUAUUAGGGAAGAACAUACGUGUAAGUAACUGUGCACGUCUUGACGGUACCUAAUCAGAAAGCCACGGCUAACUACGUG